AACUUCUAACGGUGGAUCUCUUGGCUCGUGCAUCAAUGAAGAACGCAGCCAGCUGCGAUAAGUAGUGUGAAUUGCAGAACUCAGCGAAUCAUCGAAUCUUUGAACGCAA
rnacentral:rRNA from 1 species